ACUAUGCCUAGUCGUAAACUUUAACUNACCCCUCCCAUCCGGCCCGGGAACUACGAGCUAAGCUUAAAACCCAAAGGACUUGACGGUACCCCACAUCCCCCUAGAGGAGCCUGUCCUAUAAUCGAUAACCCCCGCUUAACCUCACCAUUUUUUGCUAAUCAGCCUGUAUACCUCCGUCGUCAGCUUACCACGUGAGCGUUAGUGAGCCUAAUGUUUUUCCAACUAUACGUCAGGUCAAGGUGCAACAUAUAAAAUGGAAAGAGAUGGGCUACACUUUCUAUAAUAGAAUAAACGAAAGACUUAAUGAAACCUAGUCAGAAGGUGGAUUUAGAAGUAAAGUGAAACUAGAGUGUUCACUUAAAUACGGCACUGGGGUGUGUACACACCCACUAG
rnacentral:rRNA from 1 species